AGAGUUUGAUCAUGGCUCAGAGUGAACGCUGGCGGCAGGCCUAACACAUGCAAGUCGUGCGCGAAAGGGAGCAAUCCUGAGUAAGCGGCGAACGGGUGAGUAACACGUGGUUAACCUGCCUGGAUGUGGGGGAUACCCCGGGGAAACUCGGGACAAUACCGCAUGAUGUCUCUCGGGCGUCGGCCCGGAGAGCAAAGCCGGGGACCGCAAGGCCUGGCGCAUCCGGAGGGGACCGCGGCCGAUUAGCUAGUUGGCGGGGUAAUGGCCCACCAAGGCGACGAUCGAUAGCCGGCCUGAGAGGGUGAUCGGCCACACCGGAACUGAGACACGGUCCGGACUCCUACGGGAGGCAGCAGUGGGGAAUUUUGCGCAAUGGGCGAAAGCCUGACGCAGCAACGCCGCGUGGAGGAUGAAGGUGCUCUGCAUUGUAAACUCCUGUCGGCCGGGAAGAAUCGGCGGGGUGCUAAUCAGCCCCGUCUUGACUGUACCGGCAAAGGAAGCCCCGGCUAACUCCGUG
rnacentral:rRNA from 1 species